rnacentral:rRNA from 1 species
AGUGAACGCUGGCGGUAGGCCUAACACAUGCAAGUCGAACGGCAGCACAGUAAGAGCUUGCUCUUACGGGUGGCGAGUGGCGGACGGGUGAGGAAUACAUCGGAAUCUACUUUUUCGUGGGGGAUAACGUAGGGAAACUUACGCUAAUACCGCAUACGACCUACGGGUGAAAGCAGGGGAUCUUCGGACCUUGCGCGAUUGAAUGAGCCGAUGUCGGAUUAGCCAGUUGGCGGGGUAAAGGCCCACCAAGGCGACGAUCCGUAGCUGGUCUGAGAGGAUGAUCAGCCACACUGGAACUGAGACACGGUCCAGACUCCUACGGGAGGCAGCAGUGGGGAAUAUUGGACAAUGGGCGCAAGCCUGAUCCAGCCGUACCGCGUGGGUGAAGAAGGCCUUCGGGUUGUAAAGCCCUUUUGUUGGGAAAGAAAAGCAGCAGGUUAAUACCCCGCUGUUCUGACGGUACCCAAAGAAUAAGCACCGGCUAACUUCGUG